rnacentral:rRNA from 1 species
GCAAGCCGAGUAGAGUGGCGAAAGGGUGAGUAAUGCAUAGAUAACCUACCCUCAGGACCGGAAUAACCGCUGGAAACGGCGGCUAAUGCCGGAUGGUCUGGUUGGGCGGCAUCGCCUGACCAGUAAAUGGUUGCUUCCGGGCUUCUGCCGGAGGAGGGGUCUAUGUCCUAUUAGCUAGUUGGUGAGGUAACGGCUCACCAAGGCGACGAUGGGUAGCCGGACUGAGAGGUUGGCCGGCCACACUGGGACUGAGACACUGCCCAGACUCCUACGGGAGGCUGCAGUCGAGAAUCUUCUGCAAUGGACGCAAGUCUGACAGGGCGACGCCGCGUGCAGGAUGAAGGCCUUCGGGUUGUAAACUGCUGUUGCACCUUACGAACCCCCGAGAGUGAAUAGCUCUUCGGGAUGACCAGGGUGUGAGGAAGCACAGGCUAACUCCGUGCCAGCAGCCGCGGUAAUACGGAGUGUGCAAGCGUUACUCGGAAUCACUGGGCAUAAAGCGCGCGUAGGCGGGCUUUCAAGUCGGUUGUGAAAUCCCUCAGCUCAACUGAGGAACUGCAUCCGAUACUGUUUGUCUUGAGGACGAGAGGGGAGAGUGGAACUUCUGGUGGAGCGGUGAAAUGCGUAGAUAUCAGAAGGAACGCCGGUGGCGAAAGCGACUCUCUGGCUCGUAUCUGACGCUG